rnacentral:lncRNA from 1 species
ACAAAAACAAAAAAGUUUUUUCUUUAAAAAAAUAGAGAAACUAGCAAGCUUGUGUCUCUAUUAGGAUAAAUAAAAGCUAUAGGCCAGGCGCAGUGGCUCACACCUGUAAUCCCAGCACUUUGGGAGGCCGAGGCGGGUAGAUCCCCUGAGGUCAGGAGUUCAAGACCAGCUUGGCCAACAUGGUGAAGUCCCGUCUCUACUAAAAAUGCAAAAAUUGGCUGGGCAUGGUGGCUCAUGCCUAUAAUCCCAGCACUUUGGGAGGCUGAGGUAGGUGGAUCACCUGAGGUCAGGAGUUUGAGACCAGCCUGGCCAACAUGAUGAAACCCGUCUCUACUAAAAAUGUGAAAAUUAGCUGGGCAUGGUGGCGGGCGCCUGUAAUCCCAGCUACUUGGAAGGCUGAGGCAGGAGAAUCACUUGAAUCCAGGAGAUGGAGGUUGCAGUGAGCUGAGAUCACACCAUUGCACUCCAGCCUGGUCAACGAGAGUGAAACUUCAUCCCAAAACAAAACAAAACAAAGCAAAAAUUAGCCGGGCAUGGUGGUGGGCCCCUGUAAUCCCAGCUACCCUGGAGGCUGAGGUGGGAGAAUUGCUUGAACCUGGGAGGUGGAGGCUGCAAGGAGUCGAGAUGGCGCCACUGCACUCCAGCCUGGGCGACAGAGCAAGACCCUGUCUAAAAAAAAAAAAAAAAAAAAAAAAAAAAAAAAAAAAAAAAAAAAAAAAAUUGGCCGGGCGCAGUGGCUCACACCUGUAAUCCCAGUACUUUGGGAGGUCAAGGCAGGCGGAUCACCUAAAGUCAGGAGUUCAAGACCAGCCUGACCAAGAUGGUGAAACCCUGUCUCUACUAAAAAUACAAAAAUUAGCCAGGCAUGGUGGGGGGCACCUGUAAUCCCAACUACUUGGGAGGCUGAGACAGGAGAAUUGCUUGAACCUGGGAGGUGGAGAUUGCAGUGAGCCGAGAUCGUGCCACUGCACUCCAGCCUGGGCAACAGAGCAAGAUUGCACCUCAAAAAAAAAAAAAAAGUUAUAGAGAUUCUCCCUUCUGCUAGGAGAAAUUUCACUUCUGACAUCAAUAUUCACAAGUCCUGGGGCUCCCUAGGUCCUCUUCUGAACCGAGGCUUCCUAAAAAAAAAACUUAGGAUGCAAUGUGUGUCCCUAAAACACCCAGCUUGCUAAAGCAUGAUGUCCUUUCAGACAGGGUCUCCCAGUUCUUGGGCUCUGCUGGUCCUUCUGCCCCAGAUGGAGCCAUGGCACAGGCCCAGCCCUCUCUAGGUUGCUGGGACCCAUCCUGACUCCUCCAAUAUGGGCCACUGCAUAAGCCUCUUGGGUCUGCUAUUUGUUCCUUCUUUCAUUCUGAGAUCCAGCCCCACCUUCUUCCCUUGCUUCUGCAAUAAGAUCUCUGCCCAGGCCCAGAUGCUGGGACCAGUGCAGUACCCAGCUCCCCGUUCACCUGCCUUGUUCAUGCCAAUCCCAUUCCCAGAAUCCAUAUGACAUUUCCAAGCACUAGCUGCCAUCCUCCUGUCUACACGCCCGAAUCUCCAUGAUGCAGUGGUGGCUCCCUCUCCCACCAUGCAUGUCACCCACUCAGCACUCUGAUGACCUUGUGCCGGAGCCCCUGCUCCUGCUGGCUGCACAACACCCCCACCACCAUCUGUACCCACAGUCACAGGAGGCCCCUGUAAUCCCCGAAGACAGGUUGGACCCCAUCCCACCCCCAGAAGCUGGUCUUUACUCCCACUUCCUUCUCGGUCUCCACCUCCAGGGUCCAGUUUUAAGUUUUGGCCACUCCUGAUCCCUCCCCACCACCAUACAAACAUGACAAACAGGGCAAUGUCUGAGUGUGGCUAAGGACGCUGCAGUCAUCAUAUCAGGUAACAUUCUCCAUCCCCACUCAACAACUGAGUUUUCUCCUGGCUGGGAGCAGAAGGAGAAAUUCACAUCUUUUACAUAUAGAGUGAGCCUCUCUAGGGUGUCAGGGUCAGUGGUCUCUCAGCUAACAGCUUUGCUCUGGGGCAUUCAAGAACCUUCUGGCCCUGCAGAGAAAACCCCACCCUUGAGCUGUACACCCUGUCCCUCCCCUCCUUUCUAACUAUUCUCUCUUCUCUCCUCCAGGCAAUGUGGAGAGGUGGAAAAGUCACAAGCUUUGAGUCAGAAACACGUGGGCUGCAGUCCAGACUCUGCUACUUACGCUAUCAGCCUGGACAAGUUUCUUGACCACUCUGAGCUGAUCUAGAGAACUGGGGAUAAUAGCACUGAGUUGUCAUGAGAAGUAAACAAAAUUAUAGGAACUACUUGGUAAGAACCUAGCAAGUGGGAGAGACAUCAUGACUGCUUUCUUCAUUCUUUUUAUUCCUAUGGCCCAGGCCAAGCAACAGGGCAUGAAGAGAAGAAACUCAGCUGGGCGUGGGGGCUCACGCCUGUAAUCCCAGCACUUUGAGAGGCUGAGGCGGGCAGAUCAUGAGGUCAAGAGAUCGAGACCAUCCUGGCCAAUAUGAUGAAACCCUGUCUCUACAAAAAUACAAAAAUUAGCUGGGUGUGGUGGCGCACCUGUAUUCCCAUCUACUUGGGAGCUGGGAGAGGGAGCUCCCGCGUAGGGAGAAUCACUUGAUCACUGAGGCAGGAGAAUCACUUGAACCUGAAAGGCGGAGGUUGCAGUGAGCCGAGAUCGCCCCACUGUAUUCCAG